GACUUUUGGUUAAAAAUACUUAAGUGUUAGAUUUAUUUUAGGUGAAUUGUUUUGUGCUAAUAAAGGGUGAAAUCGAUUUUUUAUUGUAUAAAUAAUUUUGUUUAAUCUAAUGUGAUUGAGGUUGUUAAAGUUAAGGUAUGAACCAGGAUUAGAGACCCUGUUACACUUUACUUUAAGUUUAAAUACCUGGGUAGUAAGCAGUUAUAAUCUUGAAACUUAAAGGAUUUGGCGGUAAUUUAGUCUAGUUAGAGGAACCUGUCCUGUAAUCGAUAGUCCACGAAGAAUCUUACUUUAUUUUGAAUAUUUCAGUUUAUAUACCGUCAUUAUUAGAUAACUUUAAGAAAAUGUGGGAGUUAUUAUAAUAGUUUUGAGCUAGUAUAUUAGAUCAAGGUGUAGCUAAUGGUAAAGUAGAGAUGGGUUACAAUAAUAUUGGUUUAAUAAAACGGAUCAAAAGUAGAAAGCUUUUGUAAAGGAGGAUUUAAAUGUAAAGACAUUUUAACAUGAUGUCUUGAUUAUAGCUCUAGAUUAUGUACACAUCGCCCGUCGCUCU
rnacentral:rRNA from 1 species